CCCCAGCAGAAGGCACUGCAGUCAAGAAGUCUGGAGAGGUCUCCCCACAUCCACAGGGGAAGGUCAGGUCUAUGAUCCCAGGACCAGCCCUGUCUCUUCUCCCCCACCCUAAACAGUGGAGCCCUCUCUUGACUGCCCUUUGUCCACUGUUUCUAAGGAAAAUGGCAAAGAAUUAUCUUUGCCAGCUGACCCAGGUGCAGUUAAGCAGUUUCAAUAAUGAGAGGUGCUUAUGUUAUCUUUGUCUGAAAAAGAAAAAUUAAAAGCUGUUUUCUCAUAUGAAGCCCAUGCUGACCUCAUUCUUUGGGAUUUCACUUCCCAGCAUUUGUCCCUGACUCCCACCUAGUGGCUUCUUCCAGCACUGCACAGGGACAAAGAACCACCACUGAUGCCACCUGAGCCCGGCCCAGGAGCCCCUUGGGAGCUGAGCGCAGAAAGAAAGCACGGACACACCUACUCCUUUCUCAUCUCUCACUCAAGUUCACACCUGUCACAGGGGAGGCAAAGUCCUGGCCAACAGCACUCCUACUUCUGCCAACUGUGCUGGCCCAGCUGUGCUUUAGCUCUGCCAGGACCCAGAAGAAGAGGAACCAGCCCUACCACAAAGAAACAGCUACCCAAUAGGAGGCACUAGGACUAGGAGUGCCCUUUUCAUGUAAGACAUAGAGAGCCCAGGACUAGUCUGCUAUUUGUCCUAUUCUAACUAUGGACCACUCCUCCACAUCUACCCCUGCUUCUCAGCAGCCCAUUCUUCUGAUGGACCACAGAUGCUCCAGUGCCAGAAGAUCUGCAGUCCCAGAUGAGCAGCAGCAGUACAAGAUACAUUUCCCACUAUGUAAUCCCUCCCCUCUGCUAACAGUUGAUUCACUCUGGGGUAGACACUGGACCUAAGGUGUGCAUCCAUAGCUUGUGAAUAAAUUAAAAGUCUUUAAUGUCUAUUUCUUUUACACUUAACGCUUCUUCAUUGAUCUGGAGGACUUCGCUCAAAAAUAAUUAACUGGGUCAAUCAGAUCCUUUUCCUUAGAAACUUGAGUUUAAAAAGAAAACAUAUUGAGAAAACAUGGAAAGAAUUUGUCAGCCAACAAGAGUAAACUCAAACCUAACAGAAGUCUGUGGCAGUCACUCUGAGCUGUCUUCCUGAGGGCCACUUUCCCCCACUCUAUCAUCAUUCUUUUCUGACAGAGGCCACCUCCCUCUAUGGCAGGUGGAAGUGCCAAUACUUGCUUUCCCAGCCUCCCUUGCAGCUAGGGUAUGCACAGGUGAACAAAUUCUGGCCACUGCAGCUAAAUGGGAAGUCUGCUAGGGGGUUGCAGAGAGUUUCCCUCCUGAUUAAAAACAACAAAAACAUACUAAAGAAAUGAUUCUCUACCUCUGCACACAGUUGUAUAGUUGUGUCUUGUAAGGACAUGUUGCCUGCAGUUCUAGUGGCCAUCUUGCAACUGUUAUGGGAUGUGCCUGAGCAAAAACCACCCCUUGAGGAUGGCAAAGAAAAAAGAUGGGAAGAACCAGUACCCAUGAGGUCACUCAGAGCCACUUAUUUAACCCUGGGACUGUCUGUCUUCUGGACAUCUUGUUAGUGGUCUAUCUUGUUAUUGUUUACAUCAUUUUACUGGAAAAAGUAUCCCAACUGAUAUAGGUGUCACGAGGCAGAGUUGGACCAUGUCAGGCCAGUGUCAUGGCCAAGCAGGAAUUCUAGGUGUGAACAAUGCCAAUGUGUCUACAGAGGAGAAGGGAGCAAAUAUGCAAGGGAUGCACAGACAUCAUGCAUGAGAAGGCGCUGGGCAGUGCUGCCUAAUCCUUCAAACCAUCUUACUAGUUCCAACUCCAAUCCUAACCCACAUGGGACUUUAAAAAAAUAAUUCAACUGAGUCUCCAGGGUUGAACGCAGCGCUUCUUAAACUUUAAUGUGCUUACGAGUCACCUGGAGAUGGUUCAGCAAGUGUGAGAUGGGAGCCCAUAGUCUGCAUUUUUCACAAGCUACGAGGGGAUAAGAAAGCUGCUGAGCCACAGACCAAAAUUUGAGCAGCAACAACUUCUAACUAAAAGUGUCAAUCUAAAGCACUUGAUGAGUUUGCUCACCAGUCUGAAUUCUAUUCCCAUACAGAUUAAGACCUUGUGUGGAAUGUGGAUGUGCUGAUCAUAAAAUGACUUUAGGUCUGCAAGAUCUAAAACACAGACAGGCUAUCUCUGUCCAGAAUAAAAACCUUAACAUGCAGCCCUUACAACUUGGAAUGUUUAUAUGAACUUCUGACCCCCUAAAAGUACUUGCUUCGCCAUGCAUAGGUUAGUGAUGGCCAUAAUUACUCUAGAAGAUUUAUGAAUGCAAUCACUUUUAGGGAAAUCUCUUCAAAGGAAGGCAUUCCCUAAACCAUUGUAAAUAACCCCAAGACAAAACUGCAAAUCUGAAUGCAAGCUGUUUUCUACCAAUGCAUCUUGAAAAAACCAACAACAAUGUCAACUGCCUUUGGAUCAAAAAUAUUUUUAAUAAAUUUCCAAAAACUGUUUUAAAAGUUAGAUUCAUUGUUUAUACCAAAUGCUAAAAAAUAUUGUUGAUGGAUUGGAGUUAACCAUAAAAUAAAAAUCAAACCAUAAACUUACUAGAGGAAGAUACAGGUGAACAGUUAUCUGUUCUGAGGUUGGGAAAGGCGUUGCUAGGGCCAAAAGGAAAACAAGAAACCAAAAUAGGAAAGACUGAUAGAGUCAAGUACAGUUGUUUAAAAUUCUGUGUCUCAGAAAGCACCUAAACGUUAUUUAAAAACAGAGUGAGGAAAAUAUAUGCUACAAAUAAAGCAAACGGCUAAUAAAAGGUCAUUCAAAUAGAUAAGAAAAACACUAAAAUCCUAAUAGAAAACAACAGCAUAGACUACGAAUAGACUAGAGUGGGAGAGGUGCAUCCAAGAGGCUCAAGGUGAUUUCUGGGUGUACAGGGAAAAAUAUGGGAACUAUUUUUUAACCUAUCCUUUAAAACUCUAUUUUGGUGAACAGUGGAUACCCUAAAUACCCUGACUGACUUGAUCACUAUGUGUUAUAUACAUGUAAGGAAAUUUCACAUGUACCCCAC
rnacentral:lncRNA from 10 species